rnacentral:rRNA from 1 species
UACGUAGGGUGCGAGCGUUGUCCGGAAUUAUUGGGCGUAAAGAGCUCGUAGGCGGUUUGUCACGUCUGCUGUGAAAUCCCGAGGCUCAACCUCGGGCCUGCAGUGGGUACGGGCAGACUGGAGUGCGGUAGGGGAGAAUGGAAUUCCUGGUGUAGCGGUGGAAUGCGCAGAUAUCAGGAGGAACACCGAUGGCGAAGGCAGUUCUCUGGGCCGUAACUGACGCUGAGGUGCGAAAGCGUGGGGAGCGAAACAGGAUUAGA